AUCGUACUCCCUCUGUCCCAAAAUUCUUGUCUUAGAUUUGUCAGAUACGGAUAUAUCUAAUACUAAAACGUGACUUGGUACAUCCAUAUCUAGACAAAUUUAAGACAAGAAUUUUGAAACGGAGGAGUAUAAU
rfam:Triticum aestivum genome assembly, contig: Triticum_aestivum_CS42_TGACv1_scaffold_080116_1DS